rnacentral:rRNA from 1 species
UACGGGGGGUGCGAGCGUUGUCCGGAAUCACUGGGCGUAAAGGGCGCGUAGGUGGCUUGGUAAGCGUGUGGUGAAAGCCCGGGGCUCAACCCCGGGUCUGCCAUGCGAACUGCUAUGGCUUGAGCACUGUAGAGGCAGGUAGAAUUCCGGGUGUAGCGGUGGAAUGCGUAGAGAUCCGGAAGAAUACCGGUGGCGAAGACGGCCUGCUGGGCAGUGGCUGACACUGAGGCGCGACAGCGUGGGGAGCAAACAGG